CACUUUCACCGCGUCAAACGGGCCAUGCUCUUCGUCAAGCUCGACAUCGCCAAAGCUUUUGACAGCGUCUCCUGGCCAUAUCUGCUUGACAUGCUCCGUGCUCGGGGUUUUGGUCCGAGAUGGUGUGAUUGGAUAUCCACGCUCCUAGCCACCUCCUCGUCGCGGGUUCUGAUCAACGGGGUGCCUGGCCGGUCCAUUAUCCACUGUUGUGGCCUGCGUCAGGGUGAUCCUUUGUCGCCCUUCUUGUUCAUCAUCGCCAUGAAGCCCCUCCAACGGCUCUUGGAAGUGGCAGUGGACACAGGGGUCAUCUCCAAGCUACAGGGUCGGUUGCCACAGCUGCGUGCUUCCCUCUAUGCUGACAACGUUGCUCUCUUCCUCAACCCCGUGAAGACCGAGAUGGCUGCUCUCCGCUCCAUCCUUGCUGCUUUCGGCCUGGCGUCUGGGCUUAAGUUCAACUUCGAGAAAAGCGUUGUCCUCCCCAUAAGAUGCGAGCAGUUAGAUGUGCAUGAUGUGAUCUCACCACUAAGGGCCAAGGUGGAGACCUUCCCCUGCAAGUUCUUGGCGCUGCCGCUGUCGCUCCGGACCCUGCGUAAGGUAGACCUGCAGCCGCUGCUUGACAAGCUCCGCGCACGCCUGGCGUGUUGGAAGGCCAGGCUCCUCACCCUUGCUGGUAGACUCGUCCUCCUAAACUCCUUCCUAACAGCUUUCACCGUUUACUGGUCGGUCGUCUAUGCGCUCCCACCAUGGGUUCGUAAGGAGCUAGAUCGGCUGCGGCGUGCAUGGCUAUGGCGUGGAGAGGAGGUGUGCCAUGGCGGACACUGUAAGGUUGCGUGGAGCCGCGUUUGCCGCCCGCGUGAUCUUGGA
rnacentral:rRNA from 1 species